UACAGAGGUGGCAAGCGUUGUUCGGAAUUACUGGGCGUAAAGGGCGCGUAGGCGGUUCUCCAAGUCCGUUGUGAAAGCCCCGGGCUCAACCUGGGGAUGGCAGUGGAAACUAGGGGACUUGAAUCUGGCAGAGGGGGGUGGAAUUCCACGUGUAGCAGUGAAAUGCGUGGAGAUGUGGAGGAACACCGAUGGCGAAGGCAGCCCCCUGGGCUGAGAUUGACGCUCAGGCACGAAAGCGUGGGGAGCAAACAGG
rnacentral:rRNA from 1 species